UUUCCGUAGGUGAACCUGCGGAAGGAUCAUUAUCGAGUUUUGACUGGGUUGUAGCUGGCCUUCCGAGGCAUGUGCACGCCCUGCUCAUCCACUCUACACCUGUGCACUUACUGUGGGUAUCAGAUCGUGAGGCGUGCUCUUUUACCGGAGCUUGUGAAGCGUGUCUGUGCCUGCGUUAUCACAAACACUAUAAAGUAUCAGAAUGUGUAUUACGAUGUAACGAAUCUAUAUACAACUUUCAGCAACGGAUCUCUUGGCUCUC
rnacentral:misc_RNA from 1 species